rnacentral:rRNA from 1 species
ACGAGAGUCUACGGACUCGAAGUGUGUGAUGUCAGGCUUCCAAGAAAAUCCCGGAUCACGAUAAUCCAAAUUACCCGUACCCGAAACCGACACAGGCAGGAUGGUUGAGAAAACUAAAGGGCGCGAGAUAACUCUCUCUAAGGAACUCGGCAAAAUGACCCCGUAACUUCGGGAGAAGGGGUGCCACCGAGAGGUGGUCGCAGUGAAGAGGCCCAAGCGACUGUUUACCAAAAACACAGGUCUCCGCUAAGUUGCAAAACGAUGUAUGGGGGCUGACGCCUGCCCAGUGCCGGAAGGUUAAAGAAGUUGGUCAGGGAUUCGUCCUGAAGCUAGCGACUGAAGCCCCGGUGAACGGCGGCCGUAACUAUAACGGUCCUAAGGUAGCGAAAUUCCUUGUCGGGUAAGUUCCGACCCGCACGAAAGGCGUAACGAUUUGGGCGCUGUCUCGGAGAGAGGCUCGGCGAAAUAGGAUUGUCUGUGAAGAUACGGACUACCUGCACCUGGACAGAAAGACCCUAUGAAGCUUUACUGUAGCCUGGAAUUGGGUUCGGGCUUUAACUGCGCAGGAUAGGUGGGAGGCUAUGAGCCAAUCCUUGUGGGGAUUGGGGAGCCAACGGUGAGAUACCACUCUGUUAAGGCUAGAAUUCUAACCUUCACCCGUAAUCCGGGGAGGGAACAGUUUCAGGUGGGCAGUUUGACUGGGGCGGUCGCCUCCUAAAUGGUAACGGAGGCGCGCAAAGGUUCUCUCAGGCUGGUUGGAAAUCAGCCGUAGAGUGUAAAAGCACAAGAGAGCUUGACUGUGAGACGAACAUGUCGAGCAGGGACGAAAGUCGGCUUUAGUGAUCCGACGGCGCUGCGUGGAAAGGCCGUCGCUAAACGGAUAAAAGUUACUCUAAGGAUAACAGGCUGAUCUCCCCCAAGAGUUCACAUCGACGAGGAGGUUUGGCACCUCGAUGUCGGCUCAUCGCAACCUGGGGCGGUAGUACGUCCCAAGGGUUGGGCUGUUCGCCCAUUAAAGCGGUACGUGAGCUGGGUUCAGAACGUCGUGAGACAGUUCGGUCCAUAUCCGGUGCAGGCGCAAGAGUAUUGAGAGGAGUCUUCCUUAGUACGAGAGGACCGGGAAGAACGCACCGCUGGUGUACCAGUUAUCGUGCCAACGGUAAACGCUGGGUAGCCAAGUGCGGAGUGGAUAACCGCUGAAAGCAUCUAAGUGGGAAGCCCACCUCAAGAUGAGUACUCUCAUGGUGUUAAACCAGUAAGGUCACGCGGAGAACACGCGUUGAUAGGCUCUAGGUGGAAGUGCAGUAAUGUAUGCAGCCGAGGAGUACUAAUAGACCGAGGGCUUGAU